rnacentral:tRNA from 1 species
GAGGGUAUAGUUCAGUGGUAGAGCGCCUGCUUAGCAUUCACGAGGUCCUGGCUUCAAUCCCCAGUACCUCCA